CCUACGGGAGGCAGCAGUGGGGAAUUUUCCGCAAUGGGCGAAAGCCUGACGGAGCAACGCCGCGUGAGGGAUGAAGGCCUCUGGGCUGUAAACCUCUUUUAUCAAGGAAGAAGAUCUGACGGUACUUGAUGAAUAAGCCACGGCUAAUUCCGUGCCAGCAGCCGCGGUAAUACGGGAGUGGCAAGCGUUAUCCGGAAUUAUUGGGCGUAAAGCGUCCGCAGGCGGUCUUGUAAGUCUGUCGUUAAAGCGUGGAGCUCAACUCCAUUUCGGCGGUGGAAACUACAAGACUAGAGUGUGGUAGGGGCAGAGGGAAUUCCCGGUGUAGCGGUGAAAUGCGUAGAUAUCGGGAAGAACACCAGUGGCGAAGGCGCUCUGCUGGGCCAUAACUGACGCUCAUGGACGAAAGCUAGGGGAGCGAAAGGGAUUAGAUACCCCUGUAGUCCUAGCCGUAAACGAUGAACACUAGGUGUCGGGGAAUCGACCCCCUCGGUGUCGUAGCUAACGCGUUAAGUGUUCCGCCUGGGGAGUACGCACGCAAGUGUGAAACUCAAAGGAAUUGACGG
rnacentral:rRNA from 1 species